rnacentral:misc_RNA from 1 species
UCCGGUUGUAUAGUGAGUGCUCAGCUCACCGUGACUGCAACCGGAGUCAAUUGCCGAACGAUAUAAAUCGGGGGGUUCAGUUGUCAGGUGAGUUCAGUCGAGUUGUUUGGCGGGGGUUCAAACAAUUCCAGCAGUCGCCGUUCAAACAUCUCCCAAAAAAAAAUAAUCGUGAGCAAACUGUUUGGCAUAUGCGUGUCACCUUAGCAUAGACUGAAAAUCGGUUAUUGAUCGCGGCAGAACAAUUCGAGGUCCGCACGAGAGCAAAAAGAAAAGAAAUUGAGUCCUCAAGUUGCUGCUGUUGAAUUUGGUUGAACCCAUGCCAAAAUAAGCGUUGGAACGUCUCUCCUGUUGUCGAAAAAGACAGAAGAGAGCGUGACAAAAAAAAAACGGGGCGGGGUCGUUUAUGGAACCACCAACUGCCCAGGAGAAAUGCAUUUGCCAAAUCUGCACUUGCGGACGCCAUCGUUGUCGCAAACAUCCCCAGCAAGCGACUUUGGAUUUCGGACCCGCUAGUCGAUCCGCCGAAUUGCUGAUGAGCUCCAGUCUGGCCCAGAACGACUACGCCCAGCCGGCCAGGCCGGCCGAGCGGCCCGUCAUUAAGAAACUGGUGGACAAUCUGCAGGUCGGCGGUCCAGGCGUUGGCAUGGAAGCCAAACCGUCGCUCCGGACCGACUAUCCGGAAUUCCAGGUCAAGAGGCCAGUCAUCCAUCGGUUGGUGGAUCAGUUGAAAACGUCCGGCGGAACCGCUUCCUUCGACGGGGAUCCAUUCACCGCUACAACGCUCAGCCGUGACCAGUACCGGCCGUUCAGCAACGUCAAACGGCCGGAAGGCGGACGCAAAUUGCGGUCCUCGUUAAAAGUCAGGGGCAACCUGGACGCCGUUUCAACCAGUCGGGACUACCAGGAUCACGAGAAUUACGUGCGGCCGGCCAAUCACCGGAUCCCGGACAGCAUUCAAUUGGAGAGCGGCAACGUGGUGGACUCGUCCGUGUCCAACGCCGAUUUCCGCCAGUUCACCGUGGAGCGGCCGACGAUCCGGCGGCUGCAAAGUUCAUUGAAAAUCGCGGCCGGAUCGAUGGAGCAGAACGAGUCGCUGUCGCAGGCCACCUACAAGGAGAUGCCCGUCUCCAGACCCAAACGCCAUCUGCUGGCCGAUCAAAUCACCACCGGCGGCAACGGACAGGAAAUGGCCAAGGCCGGCCACUUGCACGAGGACUACAAGCAAUUCACGGCCGAGCGUCCAGUCAUCAAAAAGCUCCAGGACAAUUUGGCCAUUCCUCACCUGGCCAAAUUCGAAGCCCACAAUGCGGAAUAUCCGGAACACCUCGACUACGCCAAACCCAUCCGCAAAAAGAUGGAAGACACGCUGAAAUUCAGCGGUGCCAUGGAACAAUCGUCUCAGUCACGCAAGGAUUACGUGGAAUUUCACGCCGAGCGGCCCAUCAUCAAGAAAUUGCAGGACAACAUUCCGGUGCAUCCGACCAACGGGGCUUAUUACAAGGCCGCCGGCAACCAGCAGCCGCAAUCGACCCAGCGCGACUACGGCCACCAGUUCGAGUCGAAACGGCCCAUCAUCAACAAGUUGCACGACAACCUGAAAAUGGAAGGCGACGUCGACCUCCAGACGGCCUACAUGCAAUCCUACGUCCAAAAGGCCGAGCCCGUCCGACCGGAAAUCAAGCGGAUGCACAGCACUUUGGCUGUGGCCGGAGGGGAUUUCACCACCGAGUCGGUGGUCAAAGCGGAUUACCCGGAGCACCGCGUCCAGCGUCCGACAAUUGCCAAACCAGUCGGCCAAUUGCAGAGCAACGAUUCCUCCUGGGGGAACAAUAACAGCAGGCCGGCGGCCGGGGCCCGUCGGGUGAGUCAACAGUUUGACGGACAACAGCCGGCCGGGAUCGGCUACUUUCAGACGGGACCCAACAUGAACCGAGUCCGCCAGAUGGAGUCAUCGAUUCAAUUCGGAUCGGGAAAUUCACCGGCCAUGACCAGCGAGGCCCAGGAUUCUUUUAUUCCGCUGGAUGGAGCGCAGAAGAGUCAAAUGACUAGGCCCCGCACCAGCAAUCGACUCCAGGACUGGAACGUCAAUGAACCUUCCGGCCGGAACCGGAUGAACGGCAACAAUACGCAGCAGAAAUUAUCGCAUCAGCCAAUGACGAGGGACCAAGUGGUUGCCCAGCAGGCGAGGCGGAAGCACCAGGCCACCGAGUCGUCGUUCUCACUGGGCGGCGGCCAGCAGACGGGCCAGCAUCACGAGGUGGACGGAUCACUUUACAAAAAGAGUUUCACGUUGCCGGCUAUCGAGCCGUGCCCGGCGGCCGUUUUGCACGUCGACGACAAGUCCAAUUACCAAUUCACCCGCGAGUUGCACAAUCAUCGCUUCUACCGGCCAAUCAUCAACUCGAUGGGCUGAAGGAAUGAUCAAUUAAUUUUGCACCCGUAGGGCGAUUGGUAGUGACCUUCACUUUUGACAAGAAAUUAAUCGUUUUUCGAUUAGCGUUUGGCUGCUGGAUGUCUCGUUUUUGUAUUUGCACUAACUACCGACCACAAUACACUUAACAUUUCGAAUUGAAUCAA